ensembl:snRNA U2 U2 spliceosomal RNA
AGCGCUUCUCGGCCUUUUGGCUAAGAUCAAGUGUAGUAUCUGUUUUUAUCAGAUUUCACUUUCUUUAGCAUUAAAAUUAUCAAAACAACAUGACUGAAUAGUGACAGAUGGUACUUUGAGGCAAAACGUUUCAGCAUUUUUUUCUACUUAUUAGGUUCA